UACGUUAGCGGCGGACGGGUGAGUAACACGUGGGUAACCUACCUAUAAGACUGGGAUAACUUCGGGAAACCGGAGCUAAUACCGGAUAAUAUUUCGAACCGCAUGGUUCGAUAGUGAAAGAUGGUUUUGCUAUCACUUAUAGAUGGACCCGCGCCGUAUUAGCUAGUUGGUAAGGUAACGGCUUACCAAGGCGACGAUACGUAGCCGACCUGAGAGGGUGAUCGGCCACACUGGAACUGAGACACGGUCCAGACUCCUACGGGAGGCAGCAGAA
rnacentral:rRNA from 1 species